rnacentral:rRNA from 1 species
GACGGAGGAUGCAAGUGUUAUCCGGAAUCACUGGGCGUAAAGCGUCUGUAGGUGGUUUAAUAAGUCAACUGUUAAAUCUUGAGGCUCAACCUCAAAAUCGCAGUCGAAACUAUUAGGCUAGAGUAUAGUAGGGGUAAAGGGAAUUUCCAGUGGAGCGGUGAAAUGCGUAGAGAUUGGAAAGAACACCGAUGGCGAAGGCGGUUUCCUGGGCCAACACUGACGCUGAGGCGCGAAAAGCGUGGGGAGCAAACAGG